GACAGAGGGUGCAAACGUUGUUCGGAAUUACUGGGCGUAAAGCGCGUGUAGGCGGCUUCGCAAGUCGGGUGUGAAAUCCCACGGCUCAACCGUGGAAGUGCAUUCGAAACUGCGAGGCUAGAGUCCUGGAGAGGAAGGUGGAAUGCUUGGUGUAGAGGUGAAAUUCGUAGAUAUCGAGAGGAACACCUGCGGCGAAGGCGGGAUUGCUGGCUGGAUACUGACGCUGAGGCGCGAAAGCCAGGGGAGCGAACGGG
rnacentral:rRNA from 1 species